rnacentral:tRNA from 1 species
UCCGGUGUCGCCCACUCCGGCAGGGCAGCGGGCUGUUAACCCGUCAGGCGCAGGUUCGAAUCCUGCCACCGGAGCCG